CUACGGGUUGCAGCAGUGAGGAAUAUUGCACAAUGGGGGGAACCCUGAUGCAGCAACGCCGCGUGGAGGAUGACGCAUUUCGGUGUGUAAACUCCUUUUAUAUGUCAAGAAAAUGACGGUAGCAUAUGAAUAAGCACCGGCUAACUCCGUGCCAGCAGCCGCGGUAAUACGGAGGGUGCAAGCGUUACUCGGAAUCACUGGGCGUAAAGGACGCGUAGGCGGGUUGGAAAGUCAGGUGUGAAAUCCUACAGCUUAACUGUAGAACUGCACUUGAAACUUCUAAUCUAGAGUAUGGGAGGGGGAGAUGGAAUUAGUGGUGUAGGGGUAAAAUCCGUAGAUAUCACUAGGAAUACCUAAAGCGAAGGCGAUCUCCUGGAACACUACUGACGCUAAAGCGUGAAAGCGUGGGGAGCAAACAGGAUUAGAUACCCUUGUAGUC
rnacentral:rRNA from 1 species